UGGGCUAACUGCAGUCGAGCGGAGCGGGAAAGUAGCUUGCUACUUUUGCCGGCGAGCGGCGGACGGGUGAGUAAUGCCUGGGGAUCUGCCCAGUCGAGGGGGAUAACAGUUGGAAACGACUGCUAAUACCGCAUACGCCCUACGGGGGAAAGGAGGGGACCUUCCGGCCUUUCGCGAUUGGAUGAACCCAGGUGGGACUAGCUACUUGGUGGGGUAAUGGCUCACCAUCGCCACCAUCCCUACUUGGCCUGACAGGAUGAUCAGCCACCCUGUCACUGACCCUCGGACCAGAUUCCUACCGGAGGCAUCUUUGGUGAAUAUUGAACCCCGGGGGAAACCCUAACCCCAACCUGCCUCCUGUGCGUAGAAUCCCUAUGCGCAUGAUAUCACUUUCCUCACGCAGCAAACGUUCCUCGGCAACAACCCCGCCAUUGUCCCGUGGCCUAGCAUUGCACCAAUCCUUUAUUCCUAUGACCAAGGACUCCUCACAUACGAAGGAGAUCAGUUUAUCCCAUGAUUACUAAGCGCCACCCCCAAUGCUGCUACUUGAGCCACCUCAUGUGUCAAUCAACAUGAUCUACUCGUUUAAUACCUUCUGGCCCAUCACGACAUUUCCAUUUAGCGCAAUCGCGCCGCACACAAUAUCCAGCUCUAACCCUUUUUUUUCCAGUCAUACCCCAAACUUUCCAGGCCUUAGUAGAAACCAAACUCAUCGAUGUACCUCUGCUUUCACUUUCAUCCUACAAAUCCACUAAAUUUCCGCCUCCUUUUUACACCUUCA
rnacentral:rRNA from 1 species